GCGGUGUGCCCGUUCCCGAGGGCUCUCUGUGUGUGCCCGUCCCGGAGGGCGCUGUGCCCGUUCCCGAGGGCUCUCUGUGUGUGCCCGUCCCGGAGGGCGCUGUGCCCGUUCCCGAGGGCUCUCUGUGUGUGCCCGUCCCGGAGGGCGCUGUGCCCGUUCCCGAGGGCUCUCUGUGUGUGCCCGUCCCGGAGGGCGCUGUGCCCGUUCCCGAGGGCUCUCUGUGUGUGCCCGUCCCGGAGGGCGCUGUGCCCGUUCCCGAGGGCUCUCUGUGUGUGCCCGUCCCGGAGGGCGCUGUGCCCGUUCCCGAGGGCUCUCUGUGUGUGUCCGUCCCGGAGGGAGCUGUGCCCGUUCCCGAGGGCUCUCUGUGUG